ensembl:lncRNA
UGAACCCAGAGGGAGCGCGCGCCGGAGAGGCACGGCCACCCCCUACAGCCACCAGUCGUCAUUACAAAUUAAAGUCUCACGGCCAAAGCCAAUUCCAGUCGUCACCAGAGUUCUAGCUGUUACCGUUCAAAGGAACGAAAAGUGGCCAGCGCUAAAAAAUUCUGAGCCAAAGUCACAGAUUGGUGCUGGAAGCGAAGCCAACACUGGCCUACCAGCCGAGCUGCAGACAGCUGUGGUGGGGUGUGAAGAGGAGGCACAUUCUGCUUUUACCGACCAGACAGCCCAGACAGUGUGAGCUAGAGGCAGUGGUGGGCUUCAUCUCUGACCCAGGCACAGCUGACCUCCACAAAGGUCUGGUACCAAGGUCUCUCGCUCGCUCUCCAUCCCUCGCCGGCGCUCCCUCGCUCCCUCCUCCCCGUGAUUGACAGGCAAGAUGUCGGUGUGGAGCGAGGCAGGAGCGAAUGCAGCAGCCGUCACCCCCGGAGCCCGGCGGCGGCAGCAGCAGCAGCGCGAGGACGAGACAGCAGCCAGCCGCAGUCGCCGCCGCAGCCGCGGGAGCAAUGCAGACAGCAUCUUGAGAACGCGCUAAAGCACCCCAAACGGUGGACAAUGCCGUGUCACUGCAACUGGGAGGG